CAUAAGAGAAGUGCAAAUGCAAAAGCAAGCGAGGCUACAGGGAAGAAAGGACAGCAGAAGGGGAGUGCAGGUGCAGAUCCCCCAAACACAGCACUCCCUGCCCGCUAGGGUUGCGGGUGCGACGCAGUCACCACAAUGACGUCGAGGAUCAAUGCCGGGUAAUUCAGUGAGCGUUCCAACAAAGAAUCAAGGAAAAAACUGCCAGGCAAAACUAAGAAACCUUCUGGCAACAGGUCUUCAACGUUACGCAUAGAGUCCUUUGGAACAGGUGUUGUUUCUGUGUCAACAACUUGAAGAUCAAUUCAGGCAACGGCUACGAAAGAAAAACGAGUCACAUAACAUGGAGAGCAAAGAAGAGAAGAGAGAGGAAACAGAGAGGUGCCAGCACUGCCGCCCGGGGUGGGCAGCAGGCUGCUGGUGCCAGCGUCAUCAUGGGCGGCGGCCAGCACUGGCCACGCU
rnacentral:lncRNA from 1 species